rnacentral:piRNA from 1 species
AAUAAGCCAGGGAACGUGUAGGGU